rnacentral:misc_RNA from 1 species
GAGUCCCAGUCAGCAAGUUUAAGCAUUGUCUAAACUGGGUUGGUGUUUGUACUGCUCAGUAAUGCACUUGCGAGGGCAUAUGACAAGACAAAAUGUUUGUGGUUAUUUUAUUGAUGAUAGAAGGAAUUCAAGCUAAGGGGAAGAAUUGUUAUUUUUAUGGCUUGAAAUUUAGAUAUGUUUUUUCAUGGACUUGAAUUGUGACCAAACUCGAAAGUUUUUCGCUGGGACCUGAUUGGGAUAAAAAGUGAGAUUUG